rnacentral:rRNA from 1 species
AUUGAACGCUGGCGGCAGGCCCAACACAUGCAAGUCGAGCGGAUGAAGGGAGCUUUCUCCUGGAUUCAGCGGCGGACGGGUGGGUAAUGCCUAGGAAUCUGCCUGGUAGUGGGGGAUAACGUCCGGAAACGGGCGCUAAUACCGCAUACGUCCUGAGGGAGAAAGUGGGGGAUCUUCGGACCUCACGCUAUCAGAUGAGCCUAGGUCGGAUUAGCUAGUUGGUGGGGUAAAGGCCUACCAAGGCGACGAUCCGUAACUGGUCUGAGAGGAUGAUCAGUCACACUGGAACUGAGACACGGUCCAGACUCCUACGGGAGGCAGCAGUGGGGAAUAUUGGACAAUGGGCGAAAGCCUGAUCCAGCCAUGCCGCGUGUGUGAAGAAGGUCUUCGGAUUGUAAAGCACUUUAAGUUGGGAGGAAGGGCAGUAAGUUAAUACCUUGCUGUUUUGACGUUACCAACAGAAUAAGCACCGGCUAACUUCGUG